rnacentral:rRNA from 1 species
UACGUAGGGCGCAAGCGUUGUCCGGAAUUAUUGGGCGUAAAGAGCUCGUAGGCGGUCUGUCACGUCGGCUGUGAAAACCUGGGGCUCAACUCCGGGCCUGCAGCCGAUACGGGCAGACUAGAGUUCGGCAGGGGAGACUGGAAUUCCUGGUGUAGCGGUGAAAUGCGUAGAUAUCGGGAGGAACACCUGUGGCGAAAGCGGCUCACUGGACCACAACUGACGCUGAGGCGCGAAAGCUAGGGGAGCAAACAGG